rnacentral:misc_RNA from 1 species
GAAAUGCGAUACGCAAUGCGAAUUGCAGAAUUCCGCGAAUCAUCAGAUUCUUGAACGCAACUGGCGCUGGAGGGAUAUCCUUUCAGCAUGUCUGUUUCAGUGUCUGAUAACCUCACAACUAAACAUAAUGUGUUUGACAAGGACUGAUCUAUUAUAUAGAUUGGAUAUCUGAGUCUUACAUGAAAGAUGUAUGUGUGGGUCUUUGGAUCCAUCGAAUUGGUCACUGAUUCUUCGGUGAUUUCGAUUGGAUUAUCCAAUUACCUGUAUGCACAUAGAACUGAUGGUUGUUUUCAAUCGUCAUUCAUUCUCCAACAUCUGCAUCUGAAAUCAGGCAAGAACACCCGCUGAACUUAA